rnacentral:tRNA from 1 species
UCCGGCGUAGCUCAAUGGUGGAGCGGGCCCCUGUUAAGGGCAAGGUUGUAGGUUCGAGUCCUACCGCCGGAG